ACAGAAUCGGGAACUCUUUACAUCAUCAUCAGUUUUCAAGACUCGAGUCUCUUAUCAGCUGAUACAACUUUUUGGUGAAUGGUAUCUACAGUUUGUUUCUCAAGUUUCUUCCACAAAUACAAAGCUCUUCUAAUUAUGUUAUCUGCGGAAAAUCCUUCCGCAUAAGCACUAAUAGCUGUUAAGAGGCUAGUAAAUUUCUCCCCACCAUCCUCUGGU
rnacentral:misc_RNA from 1 species